CUCUGUUUCGCAAUGACUCAGGGCUGAAGGAG
ncrna:unclassified sequences L31-Firmicutes ribosomal protein leader